UGCAUCGGCCGGGAAUCGACCCGGACCGCCCGCAUGCCAGGCGAGCAUUUUACCACUGAACCAUCGAUGC